UGGGGAAUAUUGCACAAUGGGCGCAAGCCUGAUGCAGCCAUGCCGCGUGUGUGAAGAAGGCCUUCGGGUUGUAAAGCACUUUCAGCGAGGAGGAAGGUGGUGAGCUUAAUACGCUCAUCAAUUGACGUUACUCGCAGAAGAAGCACCGGCUAACUCCGUGCCAGCAGCCGCGGUAAUACGGAGGGUGCAAGCGUUAAUCGGAAUUACUGGGCGUAAAGCGCACGCAGGCGGUUUGUUAAGUCAGAUGUGAAAUCCCCGGGGCUCAACCUGGGAACUGCAUUUGAAACUGGCAAGCUAGAGGUCUCGUAGAGGGGGGUAGAAUUCCAGGUGUAGCGGUGAAAUGCGUAGAGAUCUGGAGGAAUACCGGUGGCGAAGGCGGCCCCCUGGACGAAGACUGACGCUCAGGUGCGAAAGCGUGGGAAGCAAACAGGAUUAGAUACCCUGGUAG
rnacentral:rRNA from 1 species